rnacentral:rRNA from 1 species
UACGGAGGGUGCAAGCGUUGUUCGGAUUCAUUGGGCGUAAAGGGUGCGUAGGUGGCGCCGUAAGUGGGGUGUGAAAUCCCGGGGCUUAACCCCGGGACUGCAUUCCAUACUGCGGUGCUUGAGGACUGGAGAGGAGACUGGAAUUUACGGUGUAGCAGUGAAAUGCGUAGAGAUCGUAAGGAAGACCAGUGGCGAAGGCGGGUCUCUGGACAGUUCCUGACACUGAGGCACGAAGGCCAGGGGAGCAAACGGG